AAUAGAUACCCCGGUAGUCCACGCCGUAAACGAUGAGUGCUAAGUGUUAGGGGUUUCCGCCCCUUAGUGCUGCAGCUAACGCAUUAAGCACUCCGCCUGGGGAGUACGGCCGCAAGGCUGAAACUCAAAGGAAUUGACGGGGGCCCGCACAAGCGGUGGAGCAUGUGGUUUAAUUCGAAGCAACGCGAAGAACCUUACCAGGUCUUGACAUCCUCUGACAACCCUAGAGAUAGGGCGUUCCCCUUCGGGGGACAGAGUGACAGGUGGUGCAUGGUUGUCGUCAGCUCGUGUCGUGAGAUGUUGGGUUAAGUCCCGCAACGAGCGCAACCCUUGAUCUUAGUUGCCAGCAUUUAGUUGGGCACUCUAAGGUGACUGCCGGUGACAAACCGGAGGAAGGUGGGGAUGACGUCAAAUCAUCAUGCCCCUUAUGACCUGGGCUACACACGUGCUACAAUGGAUGGUACAAAGGGCUGCCAAACCGCGAGGUUGAGCGAAUCCCAUAAAACCAUUCUCAGUUCGGAUUGCAGGCUGC
rnacentral:rRNA from 1 species